GACGUAGGGCGCGAGCGUUUGUCCGGAAUUACUGGGCGUAAAGGGCUCGUAGGCGGCCAACUAAGUCAUACGUGAAAUCCCUCAGCUUAACUGGGGAACUGCGUGUGAUACUGGAUGGCUUGGAUUUGGGAGAGGGAUGCGGAAUUCCUGGUGUAGCGGUGAAAUGCGCAGAUAUCAGGAGGAACACCGAUGGCGAAGGCAGGUCUCUGGGCCGAUACUGACGCUGAGGAGCGAAAGCGUGGGGAGCGAACAGG
rnacentral:rRNA from 1 species